UACAACAUCAGCUUCACUUCCCUCCCGAUUCUCCUGUACAGCCUCAUGGAGCAGCACGUGGGCAUUGACGUGCUCAAGAGAGACCCGUCCCUCUACAGAGACAUUGCCAAGAACGCGCUGCUGCGCUGGCGGCUGUUCAUAUACUGGACGUUUCUCGGCGUUUUUGACGCUUUGGUAUUUUUCUUUGGUGCUUAUUUCAUGUUUGAGAACACAACCGUGACCAUCAAUGGACAGAUAAUGACCACCAACACAAGCAUGGUAAGACACUGUGGGUUUGUCCUCUCUGUGUUUUUGGAGUGCAUUACAAAUAAAAUAUUUCUUGAAAAUAUUUUCAAA
rnacentral:lncRNA from 1 species